UAAGGUAUUUUACUUUUAUUAGAAUA
rnacentral:tRNA from 2 species